ACAGAAUCUCCUGGCAGCCUACCACAAAGUUGAAAGGAAAUUGUAAGACAGAAGAACAGAAGUGUGAUGAAUGAGAGGGGAGGACAAAGAGGGCAGAACUGAAGAAAGGAUACAGGAUCCCCGAGACACAAACUCCUGAACGCGUCUAGGACUAGGAGUGGAUCCAGCUGUGCUGAGGAACCUUACCUCUGUGGUUUGAAGAGUUCACACAGCAAUGGGCUUGGCUCUGAUCCUCAUGACACAGCAGGAGAGCAUCCUCUAGGAAACCGAGAUCCAGAAUCUUUAUGAAAGCAAUCCCACUGUGCUCUUCACAAAACCACUCCCCUAAGACUGAGCACAGGGGCACAGCCGAUGGCAGCAUCAGCUCAAGG